rnacentral:ncRNA from 1 species
UCCUCAGCCAAACCAUAGGCGACUAUGGGACGGAAAGCCAAGGGUCUUAACCAUGCGACGCAUAGGGCAAGACAGCCUGGCUGCCUGA